rnacentral:rRNA from 1 species
AUUGAACGCUGGCGGCAUGCUUUACACAUGCAAGUCGAACGGUAACAGGCCGCAAGGUGCGGACGAGUGGCGAACGGGUGAGUAAUGCAUCGGAACGUGCCCAGUCGUGGGGGAUAACGCAGCGAAAGCUGCGCUAAUACCGCAUACGAUCUCUGGAUGAAAGCGGGGGACCGAAAGGCCUCGCGCGAUUGGAGCGGCCGAUGUCAGAUUAGGUAGGUGGUGGGGUAAAGGCCCACCAAGCCAACGAUCUGUAGCUGGUCUGAGAGGACGACCAGCCAGACUGGGGCUGAGACACGGCCCAGACUCGUACGGGAGGCAGCAGUGGGGAAUUUUGGACAAUGGGCGCAAGCCUGAUCCAGCAAUGCCGCGUGCAGGAAGAAGGCCGUCGGGUUGUAAACUGCUUUUGUACGGAACGAAACGGUCCGGGCUAAUACCCUGAGCUAAUGACGGUACCGUAAGAAUAAGCACCGGCUAACUACGUGCCAGCCGCCGCCGUAAAAC